GUUUACCAAAGUGAGGAAGCAUACUACCAGUAAGGCAUAACAUCCAUACAACAUUUAAUGAUGUUCAAUUAAGCCAUUCUCCAGCUAUAAAACUCGUAAGACGGAUGUGAUGUGAAGAGGCAUUUUAGAAAUGCUUGCUGCCUCAUCAUCAAUAUAAAGAAAAGGGAACCUACUAGUGGUUUGGACACGAAAAUACGAUAGCACAUGCAUACAAGGAGCAUAUUAGAUUAGAAUUUAAUGGAGAGAGAGGUUCAUAGGAUGACCCAGAACAAUGUGGUUCAGCAAGGUAGUAGAAGACAUCAAGAUGAGAGGAAAGAGAUGACAAGAAGCUAAAAAGGAAAGGAAUGCAGACUUUACAUCCACUGACCUGUAUAAAACAUAAACAAUUCAAGAAAGUUCAAACAGAAUUUGGAUUAUACAGUGCUAAGUGGGAGUAAAAGGAUAUAUCAUUUUAUAUUGGCAUAUUAAAAAAUGAUUUUUUGUAGGGUUAAUAUUAUACAUGGAAAUUUCUUGAACUGCCAAUGUACAUAAUGAGAUAUGGAAAGGAUCCAGAGGAAGAAAGAAACUCACACAAUCACAAAAACUAACUGCAGGUGUAACUACAAGGCAACUACUUGAAUCAAAAGUGUAUUUUGAAUGCAAUGUGAAUAUACAUGUAAUUAAAUUACAAUGUAUAACACAACA